rnacentral:rRNA from 1 species
AUGGCUCGCAAGAAGGUGACCCUCCAGUACAUCCCCAACGACUCGACCCGGCGUGGCACCUUCAAGAAGCGCCGUCGGGGCCUGAUGAAGAAGGCCAGCGAGUUGGCCAUCUUGUGUGACGUCAGGGCGUGCGUGCUGGUGUACGGCGAGGGAGAGACGAUGCCGGAGGUGUUCCCAUCGCACGCUGGGGCGGCGAAAAUCCUGAACAUAUUCAGGAAGAUGCCGGAGCUAGAGCAGUGCAAGAAGAUGAUGAACCAGGAGGGCUUUCUCCGCCAGCGCAUCGACAAGCUCCGGGACCAGGUCCACAAGUUCGGGCGCGAGAGCCGGGACCGCGAGAUUAGGGUCCUCCUGCACAAGGCCAUGCGCGGCAGCCUCCCUGGCCUCGUCGGCCUCAACAUUGAGGAGCUCACCAGCGUCGGCUGGAAGGUCGAAAUGCUCCUCAAGGGCAUCGGCGAUCGCAUCGCGAAACUCCGGGGGCAGCCGCCGACUCCAUACCUGACCGGCAACUUGGACAUGGGGUCUUCUGCGGUAUAUCAGUCGCUGCCUACACAGGAGGGCUGUCUUGACAUGGUUAGAUCCGGAGGGGACCUCGGUGCUCUUGUCUGUAGUGGCUACUCUGGUGGCCACGAUGCCGCAAGCACCAGCGCCAGCGUCGGCUACUCCGACGGUGAUAUGAUGCAACCCUUUGAUCUAGGGUUCGGUUGGCAGUGGGGCACCGAUCUUGGAGCAUCUUCGAGUCCUUUCCCUCCCAUGUAG